rnacentral:rRNA from 1 species
UGCAAGUCGAGCGGAUGAGGAAGAGCUUGCUCUUCGAUUCAGCGGCGGACGGGUGAGUAAUGCCUAGGAAUCUGCCUGGUAGUGGGGGACAACGUUUCGAAAGGAACGCUAAUACCGCAUACGUCCUACGGGAGAAAGCAGGGGACCUUCGGGCCUUGCGCUAUCAGAUUAGCCUAGGUCGGAUUAUCUAGUUGGUGAGGUAAUGGCUCACCAAGGCGACGAUCCGUAACUGGUCUGAGAG